rnacentral:rRNA from 1 species
GAGGGCCCGGAGAUGGUACUGAGACACGGACCCAGNCCCUAUGGGGCGCAGCAGGCGAGAAACCUUUGCAAUGUGCGAAAGCACGACAAGGUUAAUCCGAGUGUCUCCUGCUAAAGGAGUCUUUUGUCAGUUGUAGAAUCACUGGUGAAUAAGGGGUGGGCAAGUUCUGGUGUCAGCCGCCGCGGUAAAACCAGCACCUCGAGUGGUCAGGAGGUUUAUUGGGCCUAAAGCAUCCGUAGCCGGUUGCAUAAGUUUUCGGUUAAAUCUAUGCGCUUAACGUAUAGGCCGCCGAAAAUACUGUGCAGCUAGGGAGUGGGAGAGGUACACGGUACUCGAUAGGAAGGGGUAAAAUCCUUUGAUCUAUUGAAGACCACCUGUGGCGAAGGCGGUGUACCAGAACACGUUCGACGGUGAGGGAUGAAAGCUGGGGGAGCAAACCGGAUUAGAUACCCGGGUAGUCCCAGCUGUAAACGAUGCAGACUCGGUGAUGCAUUGGCUUGUGGCCAAUGCAGUGCCGCAGGGAAGCCGUUAAGUCUGCCGCCUGGGUAGUACGUACGCAAGUAUGAAACUUAAAGGAAUUGGCGGGGGAGCACCACAAGAGGUGAAGCGUGCGGUUCAAUUGGAGUCACUCA